GGAAGGUCGGCGCGGGCGAACGCCUCGCCAACCCGGUCAGGUCCGGAAGGAAGCAGCCGUAACGAGUUCCCGUUCGGGUCGUGCCCGGCCUUCCACC
rnacentral:SRP_RNA from 1 species